rnacentral:rRNA from 1 species
UACGUAGGGUGCAAGCGUUGUCCGGAAUUAUUGGGCGUAAAGAGCUCGUAGGCGGUCUGUCGCGUCUGCUGUGAAAACUCGGGGCUUAACCCCGGGCCUGCAGUGGGUACGGGCAGACUAGAGUGUGGUAGGGGAGACUGGAAUUCCUGGUGUAGCGGUGAAAUGCGCAGAUAUCAUUUGGAACGCCAAUGGUGAAAACAGCUCGCUGGGGGUGCACUGACACUGAGACACGAAAGCCAGGGGAGCGAACGGG